UACGGAGGAUACUAGCGUUAUCCGGAUUUAUUGGGUUUAAAGGGUGCGUAGGCGGUAUAUUAAGUCAGUAGUGAAAUCUUUUAGCUUAACUAAAAAACUGCUAUUGAUACUGAUAAACUAGAGUUAGAUUGGAGUAACUGGAAUGUGUGGUGUAGCGGUGAAAUGCAUAGAUAUCACACAGAACACCGAUCGCGAAAGCAGGUUACUAAAUCUAUACUGACGCUGAGGCACGAAAGCGUGGGGAGCAAAUAGG
rnacentral:rRNA from 1 species